CCUACGGGUGGCUGCAGUGGGGAAUAUUGGACAAUGGGGGGAACCCUGAUCCAGCCAUGCUGCGUGUGUGAAGAAGGCCCUCGGGUUGUAAAGCACUUUCAGUGAGGAAGAACGCCUGGUGGUUAAUACCCAUCAGGAAAGACAUCACUCACAGAAGAAGCACCGGCUAACUCCGUGCCAGCAGCCGCGGUAAUACGGAGGGUGCGAGCGUUAAUCGGAAUUACUGGGCGUAAAGCGCGCGUAGGUGGCUUGAUAAGCCGGUUGUGAAAGCCCCGGGCGCAACCUGGGAACGGCAUCCGGAACUGUCAAGCUAGAGUGCAGGAGAGGAAGGUAGAAUUCCCGGUGUAGCGGUGAAAUGCGUAGAGAUCGGGAGGAAUACCAGUGGCGAAGGCGGCCUUCUGGACUGACACUGACACUGAGGUGCGAAAGCGUGGGUAGCAAACAGGAUUAGAUACCCCAGUAGUC
rnacentral:rRNA from 1 species